rnacentral:rRNA from 1 species
AUUGAACGCUGGCGGCAGGCCUAACACAUGCAAGUCGAGCGGAUGAAGAGAGCUUGCUCUCUGAUUCAGCGGCGGACGGGUGAGUAAUGCCUAGGAAUCUGCCUGGUAGUGGGGGACAACGUUUCGAAAGGAACGCUAAUACCGCAUACGUCCUACGGGAGAAAGUGGGGGAUCUUCGGACCUCACGCUAUCAGAUGAGCCUAGGUACGAUUAGCUAGUUGGUGAGGUAAAGGCUCACCAAGGCGACGAUCGUUAACUGGUCUGAGAGGAUGAUCAGUCACACUGGAACUGAGACACGGUCCAGACUCCUACGGGAGGCAGCAGUGGGGAAUAUUGGACAAUGGGCGAAAGCCUGAUCCAGCCAUGCCGCGUGUGUGAAGAAGGUCUUCGGAUUGUAAAGCACUUUAAGUUGGGAGGAAGGGCAGUAAGUUAAUACCUUGCUGUUUUGACGUUACCGACAGAAUAAGCACCGGCUAACUUCGUGCCAGCCGCCGCGGUAAAAC